rnacentral:rRNA from 1 species
AGUGAACGCUGGCGGUAGGCCUAACACAUGCAAGUCGAACGGCGGCACAGUAAGAGCUUGCUCUUACGGGUGGCGAGUGGCGGACGGGUGAGGAAUACAUCGGAAUCUACUUUUUCGUGGGGGAUAACGUAGGGAAACUUACGCUAAUACCGCAUACGACCUACGGGUGAAAGCAGGGGAUCUUCGGACCUUGCGCGAUUGAAUGAGCCGAUGUCGGAUUAGCUAGUUGGCGGGGUAAAGGCCCACCAAGGCGACGAUCCGUAGCUGGCCUGAGAGGAUGAUCAGCCACACUGGAACUGAGACACGGUCCAGACUCCUACGGGAGGCAGCAGUGGGGAAUAUUGGACAAUGGGCGCAAGCCUGAUCCAGCCAUACCGCGUGGGUGAAGAAGGCCUUCGGGUUGUAAAGCCCUUUUGUUGGGAAAGAAAAGCAGCAGGUUAAUACCCCGCUGUUCUGACGGUACCCAAAGAAUAAGCACCGGCUAACUUCGUG